CUCCAAGGAAACCAAGAACCAGAUGUGGAUCCACCAGCUAUGACAGUGUGGAACCAUGUCAACCCCCAAUAACUGCAGUGUAGUGCUCCAUGACAUUAAGAAAUAUUUAUUGAGUGUCUACUAUGUGUGGUGCAUGGAAAAUGAUGAGUAUAGCAGACCCAAUCCCUCUAUGUCUUUGGACCACCUCACACCUGUUGGAAUGGUCAUUAUCAGCAAGACAGGUCGUGGGAUGAAUAACUGCUUGUCACUAUUUCUCAGCUGAGACUCAGCUGCUGCAGGCACCUUCUCAGGGUCCAGCUUCCAUCCCAAACCGAGCCAGG